rnacentral:rRNA from 1 species
AGGACGAACGCUGGCGGCGUGCUUAACACAUGCAAGUGGUGCGACGAACCAGGGCUUGCCCUGGGGCAAAGCCGCGAACGGGUGAGUAACACGUGAGUAACCUGCCCCGAUGACCGGGACAACCCGAGGAAACUCGGGCUAAUACCGGAUGUGGCGCACUGGCGUAAGCCGGUUCGCUAAAGGAAGCUUCGGCCUCCGCAUUGGGAGGGGCUCGCGGCCCAUUAGCUUGUUGGUGGGGUAACGGCCCACCAAGGCAACGAUGGGUAGCUGGUCUGAGAGGACGAUCAGCCACACUGGGACUGAGACACGGCCCAGACUCCUACGGGAGGCAGCAGUGGGGAAUCUUGCGCAAUGCGCGAAAGCGUGACGCAGCAACGCCGCGUGGGGAUGAAGGCUCUCGGGUUGUAAACCCCUUUCAGGAGGGACGAAAAUGACGGUACCUCCAGAAGAAGCCCCGGCCAACUACGUGCCAGCAGCCGC